GUGAGGUUUCUGAACUUCUUGAUAUACACGAGAUGACUACGGGUGUCAAAGGCUUGUUCUUUCACUCAUCCAACUGAAGCCAGUUAGCACUCAAACAGUUACACAGUGUGCAGGUGUAGCUAAAACCCAAACAGGAAGCACCCAUUGAACAUCCUGUUACAACAAAAUAGAGAUACACUUUAGGCACUUGCCACAAUCCUAGCAUCACCAUUGGGCUGCUAUACAAAUCUUGUUCAAUAAUAUUCAGAGAAGGAGGAAAGCCAGUGCAGGGAACUAUGGCAAGUGGGAUAACAAAACUGAAUACUCAGGAUGUCCACGACUUCAUCUAACCAGAUCUGUGGUGCUUGUUUCCAUAGAAACUAUGUAUCAUCUUCAAAGGCAGAAUGAAGCUGUCGUGUCACUGAAGGAGGAAGAGAUAAGUCAAAAGACAGAUGUCAGAACACCUGCACAUGUAUUAAAACCAGAGGACACAUGAGAGUACAUAUUAAAUAUAUCCUACAAAAUUAUUUCUAUGUUGAAAGUUAAUUUUCCUUUCUGCCCUUAUUUUUCUUCUGCAGCGGUAGAGGGGAAACCCACGCACAGCUGUGAGGAUGCCAGGCAAAUGCUUUGCUGCUGCAUCAUACCCAUCUCAAAACCUAACGUCAUAAAACCCAGUUUCCUGGACAGAAAACCCGAGGGACUCUUAGAUGUAGGAAGGCUCAUACGCUCUUUAACACAGGAGCGUGGACAAGAUGAAUGAUCCGCAAAGAAGUGCAUUGUGGGUGAGUGCCAAUUCCUUGCAAGGUAUGUGGACUUCUAUUCCCUACAUGGAGUGUGGCUUCAUCUGAUAAAAGGGACUUUGCAUACUUAGGUUAGAAAAACUCAUAGAGUGACUUGGGGACACUAUGAUGCUGGAGGCAGAAAACAGACACACACUACUGCUGAACACGGAGUUGCAGCGGCUGCUUCCAGAAACUAGGAAGUAAGAGAGCUUUCAUUCAGAAGGAGCAGGACCAGGCAGGGUCACACUUUGACUUCAGAAUUCUCCCUUCAAAGCUGGUGAAGCGUACGUUUCAGUUCUCUUACACACAGGCUUUGAGUACUCUGCUAGGAAAAUCCCGGAAUGCUAAGACGAAUAAAUUUUCAUUUGCAAUAUCUUCGUGGUGUGACGAGCCAGGCGGUGGCACACGCAUUGUUGUCAUCCUUGCGGUUGGAAGGCUGAAGCAGGAGAAUCAUUGCAAAGGCUGAAGUCAGCCUAAUUGACAUGGUGAGUGUAGGCCAAGCAGAAAGGAAAAAGAGAAAUAAAGAGAGCAAAUAGAGAAAACCCAAGAAUUUUCUCUGGCCCCAUGAAGCCAUGACCUGGUUUGAGGGUGUUGCUUGCCCUAAUUGGCCACAUUUCCAGGUCUGGAGCUGGUAGUGUGCCCUCGGGACAUUGGUCUCUGUUUAUCAUCUUCUUUUAGUCUUUCAAUCUUGAGUAAAUAUCCAAAUAGACCUUCUCAGUGGUGAGAAAAGAAAACAGCAGAAUUUCUCAGCACAAUCAAAGGUUUGCUUGAAUAAUUUUUCUGUACAUAUGAAUUUUCUUCCGGUAGGAAAAAUCUUGUUUAGUUUCAGACUUUCUGAUGCAGUACAAAGAUAUUUCAGUCAAAACUCUAACUAUCUCUAUGAUUUAAAAGUACUCUGAGCAGGACAUUCCAUCCCAAUAGGUUGUCAGCUCAACAAGAACCAAGCUGCACAUUACUCUAACUAGGAAAUCUACAAAUUAAAUAACUUCAUAUUAGUCAUUUUGUAAUUGUAUGUUACAUUGUAUUCUUAAAUGAGAAUUAUGUAUUUUUUUUAAUUUUAAACUAAGGAGUCUUUUUUGAGGUAAUGGAAAUGUUACAAAGAAUCAGACUGCAGUGUCACCACAUAAAAGUGUUCUAUGACAUGUGAAAUGAGUGGAUUUUGAAGCAUGGAGAUAAUUAAAAAGCAAACCUGCCCAUCCUGGUAGGAAAUACCAGCUGUGGAGCUGCAGAUGUAGCAUUUGGUGAGGGGUAAUCAGAGAUGGCAUUUCCCUCACUGAGAUAAUAGCCAAGGGGAGACGAAGAUGUCACGGGUGUGCUGUCGCAGUGUCUUGCAAAGAGAAUCUGGAUAAGCCUGGGUCCUGUCAGAUGAAAGAAAUUCCAGAGACAAUGGCCCUCCAGAGGAUUCAUGAGUGACUUUUCUGCUAUCUGCAGGCUGAGCUAAGACUUUUGAAGACCUUUCAAGGUAUUAUCCCUGCCAGGAUAUCUACAGGGAAACAUUACUAAGAAAUUAUGUCAUAUACAUCAAUCCAUUUGACGCUCAUUUGCAAACAUGGUGCAAGUACAUAGACUAAUACAUAGUCUAUCUGUCUCUACUUUUUACAGUAAAUGGGAUGCAGUACUAGUGUUUCUCAGUGAUGGGAUGUGGUACUUUGUUUCUCAGUGAUGGGAUGCAGUACUAGUGUUUCUCAGUGAUGGGAUGCGGUACUUUGUUUCUCAGUGAUGGGAUGUGGUACUUUGUUUCUCAGUGAUGGGAUGUGGUACUGUGUUUCUCAGUGAUGGGAUGUGGUACUGUGUUUCUCAGUGAUGGGAUGUGGUACUGUGUUUCUCAGUGAUGGGAUGCAGUACUAGUGUUUCUCAGUGAUGUCUUGUGGAGCUCUAGUUUUAAAACCCUUCAAAGCAAUAGCUGCAUGAAAAAUGCUUUUUCAGAGGUGGGGGUAGAGGUGUUCAUGUUCAUUCCAUACCAUAAUUGAUUUUCAAUUGCUAGUUCAGCAGUGAGUUUGGUUUUUACCUUACAGGAUCUUGCUAACACCAAUGGCAUACACACCAUUCUUUGACCAUAUUUUCUCAUAGUUUGGUAUGCAGUGAGAACACUUCAUUGAUAAAUUAUUUAUGUAAGCCAUUCUCUUUAUUAGUCAAGUGAUCUGAAAUAUAAAUUACAAGCCUCCCAAGUAUUUGUUUUUUCACAUCUAGGAACUAAUGACUUCAGUUACUAGGGAGACUAUUAGGGCAGAUUUUCCUCCAAAUGACUUUUUAAAUGAGUUUUCUGUAUGGGAAAAAUAUGUCACUUGUAAGUAAUGUAUUCUGAUUAUUUUCUAAUGCUAAUAGUCAUUAAUAAAAAUCAUUUUCAGCCAUUUUGGUCAUGUUAAACUGUUAAAUUCAUUAUUAUUAUAUUAUAUUAAAUAUGUGCGACUCAGAAAUAACCCGGGGAUCUGAAUGCAAAAGAGAUGAUACAAAAACAACAAGGAACUAGAGUGUACUUUCUGUCUACUGUGGCAAUCAUUGCUGAACGUACGGUUAGAAAGCCAUAUGCUCGCAUGAGCUAGGGAACUUUUCUCUUUAUAAAAUUGAACCUUAAUGUGGCAAAUCUAUGAGAAAUCAUGAGAUUUCUUUCAGUGUUAAGCAGGGUGUCUUGGGCAAACAUGGAGCACCUGAGACAGAGAACAGCCAUCAGGAAAGACACAUACCCACCUCUGACCUUGGUUGAUCCAUGAAUCCCUUGAGCAGGCUUCUUAGCAGUGUUAACACACUCAUCAAGCCAGCAAGAGAGGGGGGAAAGGGAAGAAGUGAGGUUUCCAGGAGGACUGCCGUACCCUGUGUAUAUUUGGCUGUGUUACCCAAAGCAAUCUUGGAUACAACAGAAUCCUUGUCAAAGAACUCAUACCAUUCUUCACAGAAAUGGAUAAAACAACCAUAAAUUUAUUCACAGAAGAGCAUAAAAGACCCAAGUAGCCAAAGCCACCCCAAGUAAAAAGAGUAAUAUCGACAGUGUUAGCAUCACUCACUUCAAACUAUACUACAGAGCUAGGGUUAGGAGAACAGCAUGGCACUGACACAAGCAGGCAUGUAAACCAGUGGAAGAGAACAGGAGACCCAGACAUAAAACAAUGCAGCCACAUCACUUCAUUUCAAUAAAGGUGUCAAGUACUCUCACGGUGGCCGGCCAGGACUUUUUAAUAAAUAAUACUGGGAAAAUUCACAUCCUGGAGAAACAAAUGGUUAUCAAAAAAUUCUCACUUGCCUCACUCAAAACCCAAUGCCAAGUGUAUCAAAGACAUUAACAUAAGACUCAAAACUCCGAAACUGAUGGAAGGAAUGUGGAGAAGACACUGCAAAACACAGGUAUAGAUGAGCACCUUCUGCAUAGUACUCAAAUGCUCAGGAUCAAUCCUGAAGAACAAGGCCUCAAAAAUGUUCCUGAGGGGUGGAAUGGGCUGUGGUAUAAAGCACUGGCCUAGCAUAGCCAGGGUCUUCAAUUCAACACACACAAAUACACACACACACACACACACACACACACACACAUACACACAUACACAUACACACACACACUCAUACACACACACACACACACACACACACACACACACACACACAAAUCCUUACAGCAAAGGAAACAGUUAAGCAAGUAAAAAGGUAAAGAGUAAAGUGACAGCCUGCAGAAUAGAACGUCUGCUAGCUUUAUACGUGACAAAGGACUGAUACCUAGAAUAUAUGAAGAACUCAAAACUCUAAUCAAAUGAUUUAAUCGCAGAUUGGGUUGAGAAGCUAAACAGACUUUCUCAUAAUAAAUAACAUUAUUUAUCAAAUGGCUAAUAUAUAACUAAUAAUGUUACUUUUAUUGCUGUUGUUGCGUGUGUUCAACAUUCUUAGUCAUCAGGGGAAUCCAAAUUAAAACUACUUUGAGGUUCUCUCAUGCAGUUCAGAAUGGCUUUCAACAAAGAAGCCCAGCACAUACUACACAGUUCUAUCACAGGCAGGGGAAAAGGGGACACUUACUGAUUUCCUAAGUCUCCUUACUGAUUUUCUAAGUCAUAUUCUCUGUAUAGUUGGGCAUUGGUGUUUCUUCAGAUAUGAACAACUGGGAUUCAUUUUGGUGUCAAGUGUUUGCGAAGGUGAAAGUGACUCUGUGUGUAUUUAUUUCAGAGACCAGAAAGCUUUUCCCACAAAGUCGUAUGCACACCUAGUCUUACUGAUUAUGACCACUGCUUACACAUGUGAAUAACAAGAAAAUAUAAAGCCAGAAAUGAAAACCAGCAUUUUUGCAAUCUAUUUCACCUGGCCACCUUAAUUACUGUCAAUUAAAUGAUCUACAUGUACUAAAAAUUCCUUGGUGUACUAUGGACAGUACAUGGCACAACACUAAAAACUAUCCAGGAUUCAAAUUGAUUAGGGGGGAAAGCAUUGUCUAAAAUACACUCUAUAACCCAGCAGGACCUGGAGCUGCUGUCCAGAAGGCCAUUAAAGGAGGAGAGAGUAUGUGGUAUCCUAUCAAAGGCAAGCUGGACAGGGCCAUUGUCCUUUGCAUGUAGGGAAAUGAGUGUCAGUGCCUAAAACCUGUUCUCCUCCAGACCUAAGACUACACCAUUCAUGUGACAAUCUGCUUUUCUCCCCUACCCAACCCCACUCUUUAUCCCAAGACAAAUGGUUCUUAGGUUAGGUUUGAAUAACCAUCCAUUUUACAUCAGAGAAGCAGGAAAGAGACCGUCCAUUUUCACUUGGCUGUGUGUGUGUGUGUGUGUGUGUGUGUGUGUGUGUAUUGGCAUACUUUCAAAUGCUUUUUGUGUUUACAGACACUAUAGGCCUUAACUUGAACCAGUCUGCUCUGCAGUGAUGUUUGAGUGAACACUUGGAACCCAUGGGUCCUCUGAACAGUGUUUCCCAACUCUGUCAAUUAGGGAAAAGGUAAAAACUGUUUCACCAUCUUUUCAACGAUGUAGCAAUGAGCUCUUCCUUCAAGUACUAAAAGCCUGGCCUUCGCCGAAGUAAAAUCAUUACCGGUCUCAAGAAUGUUUCUGGCUCUGACAGUGUAAAAGUUUAUGGCUCACUGUUCCGGCCAUUAGAGCUCUACAAAGGUUGAAUUAGGAGACACUGGAGUAGAAGGUGGCAUCCACACAGAGAAGCCCUCAUGUUUCCACAGAGGUGAGAGACUAACACAAUCCUUUUCAAAUCUUAUAUUGAAUAGAAGUGCAUUUUACAUUACAAACCAACCCACACACACACAAACACAUACACACACAAAGACCACAGAGUCAAUCAACUUUAUAUAGAGCUAUAACUAAGAUUUCAUAAAACAGUGCUACUGGAAUUAUAACAAAAACACUAGUAUGUUCUAUUUCAUGUCCCCUGUUUCUUUAUAAGCAGACCAUGAACUAGUAAGAUAUUUCAUAUCCCACUUAUAGUUUUCAGUUUUCCCAGAGCAUCAUGAAGUAUGUUUCAGAGAAUGAGGAUGCUGGGCAAACAUAUGCCUUGAGUCUUUGAACAGUGCCACAGCUGUGUUCUUGUAAGGACCAGUUAAACAGGACAGCCUAAGGUUGUAAUCAAAUGCAUGAGACCUUCGUUAAGUCACAAAGUCUCCUUGGUUAACAUAAAUUCAAUUAUGAAGAGCAGGUAACAAUUGCUAAUUAUUUAUUUAGUCCAGGGCUGUUUGGAAUAACAAAUUAAGUGUGUUUUUCAGUUUAAAUUGGAAAUAAGUUCAUACUUUUAGUAACCAGGUUUGCAAAGGGACUUUUGAAGAGCCCAGAGUCCAUUCUUUUCCUUUUUGUGUUUUGAAAAGGAGUCUCAGAUUCAGCCUGAGAAUCUGCAGGGAAGAAGAUUGCAUGCAAAAAUGAAAAACAAGCACUGUAUAAUAUUGCAGACAGGCCCUGGGGAACCUUUGAACACCUCCCAGACCAUGUGUUUGGGUGAAGACCCAAUCCUUGGGGGGAAAGAACAGUUCUUAAGAGAAGGAAAGUUGGGAGCAUUAGAAAACCUGAGUUAAUGGAGCCCUUUUAAAGAAUCAGAUGCAGAUGUGAAAGGUAAAUGAAGCAACACUCCAGAGGGGGAGGCCAAGAAAGCCAGGAGCAUGAGAAGAAAUGCCCAUGUGACUUCCCAAGGAGGAAGUAAAGAAGGGGCCCACCCACUUAUACCCUCCACCCUGGCCUGGGAAGCCAGAGAAUAUUCUCAGUAUUCCCCUCUCCCUGUCCCUCUCCCUCCCUCUUCUUCUCCCUCUCCUUGUCCCCUUCCCCUUCCCUCUCCCUCUCUCACUUUCUCUCAGCAUAGAGGGUCUAUCACUGGAAAUUCAGCAAUUGAGGUGGUUGGCCCAUGAGCCCAGGGAACUCUUGACUAUGCUUCUCCAAUACUCCUGGCUUUUUACUUUGGCUCUAGGGAUUGAACUUGGGCUCUUGUGCUGGCAAAGCAAGUGCUUUACCAGUUGAGCUAUAAAAGCAUUCUUUAUGGUACAGAUCUUGCUUGAACAUCUAUCAACAGGUUCUUGACACAACCACAAAAUUUUUGAAAAACAAGCUCAUGUAUUAAUUUGAAUUCAAUUUUAGCAGCUUGAAAGUGAGGCUUUAAGUUAAAAGUAGGUGUCUUUAAUUAGUUCCAAGUUUUUAAUCUAACUUCUACUGGAAAUCACACCCCCUUCACUUGAUAUCUAGAACAAAGGACAAAGUAUGAUAGAUAAGUAAGCUUUAAAAAAAACAGAAAAGAAAUCAAAGUAUGUGUUAAGAUCUGGCAAUAUCAUCUGUACUUGUCAAAUGCACAUAAGGAAAAUUAGUUUGGGUUUAAUAUGUAUAAAACAAUGCACAACCCAGACAAAUUGUCUGGCAAAUUAAUGAAUAAUCUAGACUUGAAUUUUAAUGUCUUAGAAGAUGUUUUCUAAGGAAUAAUUUUGGAGGAAUGUAGUACUAGAAUUCAAAAUCUGCCCUUCUCUGUGUGUGAUAUGAUUUUAUAUUCAGUCUUCCAUUCCUGAGGCUUUGUAGGAGACGCCUUAUUGGUACCAAUGUAGAAAACAUCUCUUAAUCUAACGUACAUAUGCCAGGAUUGUAAUAAAUGUUACAGAUAUGGGCAAAGGCUUUAUUUCAGCAAGACCCCUUGGAUAUCUGAAUAAGAUUCAAGGCACAGAACUUUGAAAAGAAGCUUUGCAGCUUCUCUUUGGUUUGCUUUGUUAACAGUGGGCUCAGGGUCAUUCUCAGGUUUAGAAGAGAAAAGGAAACCCCAAUGAGGUCUUUGCUACUCACAGUUCUCUGGUAGACAUCUUUAUAUAUGUUCUACUACUCAAAUGUUUGUUACAAACAACGCCUUGACUUCUCUUUUAAUCAAUGACUUUAUAGCUCCAAUUAAUUUGUUCCAUACAUGUUGUCAAGUCCACAGGUAAGAAUCUACUUCAGUGCUGAGCUCUCAAAGACAAGGGCAGUUCACACUUUGCCCCUUAAGUAGAAGUAGCAGGAAAUAAAGGCAAAAGUAUGACAGGAAGUUCUAUUUGAACACUAGAGAAGGAGUCCUUGCUUGUUCAGGGAGGCUGACACUGAGGUCUCACAUAGCACUGGGCGUGGUGGAGCAUGAAAGGAAGGAAGAAGGUCCCUGGGCAGAAAACAGAGUUCCAAGAAACAGAUUUUGCUAGAUGUGUGUGUGUGUGUGUGUGUGUGUGUGUGUGUGUGUGUGUGUGUAACAGAGAAAAGCCAGAACUAGAAUGAAACAAAGCAUGAGACAAAGGUAUGCAAAUUCAUAGAACCUUUUACCUGUGGCCAAAGAGGCAGGAUGCAGUUAAAUGAAAGGGAAAGGCAUUGAACGGGUCUGAGUGGGAAAGUAAUAUGACUUGAUUUACACCUAUAAAUGCACACCCCAGCAGCUGUAUGGAGGACUGACAAAGGAAACAAGAAUAGAGGCAUCAAUCAAAAAGCUUUGGCUGAAAUGAGAAAGGUGGUAUCAUGGACCAGUCCAAGGGCAAUGAAAGUGAUUCCUUUUGAAAGCCUCCUGCCGGCAUUGUUAGCUGCCUCCCUGGAAGCUACCCUCCCCCAUUUCAGUCCUCACACGUGAUGCUCUGACAUUCAAGGUUGGCCCAACUGUACUACGAUAUCCCACUCCCAUUAGUAUCCCUGCCCCCACUUGCUACCUAACACUGCUCAGCAUGUCCUUCCUGGUUGUCCAAAAGGACCUCUCAGAAAGGCAGCUGGGCUAAAUCUGCAAAGCCUCUCUCUUGCUUUGUAGCUGCUAAAAGGAAACGGAUUUUAUCCAGCUCUGCCCUUGACCCAAACUAGACAGAAAUGUGAAAACAGAACAAGAUAUCUCCCAGGCCUGUUCUGGUGGAAGAGCAUUUCUGAGCAUCUCUGUGGUAAUUUAAUUUUCAAAUGUUUAUUGCCUUUGUUUACAUAGAUAAGGAAGUAAAGCACCUUCAUUUCCCUGACUUAUGUGGCAACAGAACUCCCACUUGGGAAGUGAUAAUCUGCUUCACAGAACUAGUUUCAAGAGUAUCAUCAUGAGUACAGUAAACAAAAGAUGGCUGAAGGGAACAGGAAGAUACCAGGGAGAUCAAAACCUCUACAGUGUUCUCAGGUUUUUAUCAUUGUUAGAGAAAGAACUCAAAGGUGUGGCAAAGGAUGGGGAGAGAGCCUUGAAUACAAAACAGAAGUACCCAAGAGACAUGUGAGCCACUUGGAGUCAGUCAUGCCUCUAGGAAUGACCGGAACAGCACUUUUCCAGAGAAAGUCUCAGGGUAGGAGGCUUAUUCAAGACCCAAGAAAUAGAGUCUAUUCCUCAGUUUUGUCAUUAUGUCUUUGACAUGUGUCUUCUGGGAGCAACAACUGUAGAAGGCCGAUGAAGGGAGAUGCCACUUUAAUGACGCAGAGUACUGUCAGUGUAUCCUCUAAGUCUGGAGGUUGUCCAAGGUGGUUUGAGCAAGCUCUGAGUGUCACUGUAGUGACAUGAAGUCCUAUGGUAAACGUGUUCUGUUUAGGAAUCAGCCUCCAGACACCAUGCAAUCACCUUUUCCCCGAUGGGGUCUAGCCUGCAUCCAAAGCAAUGAACUUCAUGGCAUCAAAUAACAUUCUUCAAAAUCCUGCCACAUCCGAGAUAUGCUUAGAAAGCCCACAGCAGGCUGCAAACAUCUAAAGACAUAUGUGGCGAAGCCUGCGAUGAAAAAAAAAAGAUCAACUACUUGGGAAAAUCUAAUAAAGUAAAUGUUUGAUGUUAAGAUCUGAAUACUCAGGAAUCCUAUUUAUCAUCAAGGAUUAGCAGAGUUUUUAAAAUUCAAGAGCCAGUAAAGAUACAGCUAGAAAAUUUCUUCCUAGAGUCCCCCUUUUAUUAUUAAUUAAACUCAUUAUAGGGGCUGGGG
ensembl:lncRNA